UACAGAGGGGGCAAGCGUUGUUCGGAAUUACUGGGCGUAAAGGGCGCGUAGGCGGCCUGUUAAGUCGGACGUGAAAUCCCCGGGCUCAACCCGGGAACUGCGUCCGAUACUGGCAGGCUUGAAUCCGGGAGAGGGAUGCGGAAUUCCAGGUGUAGCGGUGAAAUGCGUAGAUAUCGGAAGGAACAUCAGUGGCGAAAGCGACUUCCUGGACCAAUACUGACGCUCAUGUGCGAAAGCGUGGGGAGCAAACAGG
rnacentral:rRNA from 1 species